rnacentral:lncRNA from 1 species
CACUCCACAGGUAGCCAUCAGCUAUCUCAUGUCGGCGAGCCUUCUAACCCAGCGCAGAAUGCCUCCAAGAUAGGAUGCGCGCGGCAGCGUGAGAAGACACCC